AUGCGUCAUCCUCCUUAAAAUCCUUGGUAUGCCUGUGUCUGCUGAUCAGUGCAGAAGAAAGACUAGUUCUAUUUUUAGACCAAGUCUUCUGAAAAUAUACUAUACUGGAAGGACUGAGGACUGGAAGGCAAAUGGAGGAAUGCAGAGUACAUUUGCUUCAGGACUGCUAAAUGCCUGGGAGAGGUGAGAGCAUCUCCUCACCAACACGGCUCAUUGCUCUGGGCAGCGAACUCACACCCGUGAGACAAAGACUUGAGGGACCACUUGCUCAGCAGCGGUGAGGAACAGCAGAAGAGAGAGGCUCUCUGAGCUCUUCCUGCCACUGGCUCUCUCCACUGGUUCUUGGCCAUUACUCAGAGACUCUUUUUGGUAAGGAGUUAUGAAUCGCCAGCUGUCAGCACCUGGUUGGAGCUCAACACAAAUAAUAAAUGGUCCUUGUAAUAUUAAGAUCA
rnacentral:lncRNA from 1 species